CUGAGUGAUGGAAAACAGGGGAGCCAGCACCGGACUGAGCAGAGAAAGAUGAAGUAAAAGGCCGCCCAGUACUGUCUGGAU